GAUGAACGCUGGCGGCGUGCCUAAUACAUGCAAGUCGAGCGAACGGACGAGAAGCUUGCUUCUCUGAUGUAAGCGGCGGAAGGGUGAGUAACACGUGGAUAACCUACCUAUAAGACUGGGAUAACUUCGGGAAACCGGAGCUAAUACCGGAUAAUAUUUUGAACCGCAUGGUUCAAAAGUGAAAGACGGUCUUGCUGUCACUUAUAGAUGGAUCAGCGCUGCAUUAGCUAGUUGGUAAGGUAACGGCUUACCAAGGCAACGAUGCAUAGCCGACCUGAGAGGUUGAUCGGCCACACUGGACCUGAGACACGGUCCAGACUCCUACGGGAGGCACCAGUACGGAAUCUUCCGCAAUGGGCGAAAGCCUGACGGGGCAACGCCGCGUGAGUGAUGAAGGUCUUCGGAUCGUAAACCUCUGUUAUUAGGGAAGAACAUAUGUGUAAGUAACUGUGCACAUCUUGACGGUACCUAAUCAGAAAGCCACGGCUAACUACGUG
rnacentral:rRNA from 1 species